UCUUGGGACGGACCUUCCCAGCUCGGCUGGCGACGCUCUAGUCGCCGUUUCUCUGAGGCCCGCCGGCGGCCACUGAGCUGUGAGAGCAAGGCCUGCCUCCCUGCGCACAGCCCGCGGGCACGGGUCAUGGCGCGACUCCCGAAACUCGCAGUCUUCGAUCUAGAUUACACGCUCUGGCCGUUCUGGGUGGACACGCACGUAGACCCCCCGUUCCACAAGAGCAGUGAUGGAACUGUACGAGAUAGGCGGGGCCAGAGCAUCCAACUGUACCCUGAGGUGCCUGCGGUCCUAGAACGAUUGCGGGGCCUGGGAGUGCCCAUCGCGGCCGCUUCACGGACAGGUGAGGUUGAAGGAGCCAACCAGCUGCUGGAGCUCUUUGACCUUGUCAGAUACUUUGUUCAUCGGGAAAUCUACCCAGGCAGCAAAGUCACACACUUUGAGAGGUUGCAGCAGAAGACUGGAGUUCCUUUCUCCCAGAUGAUCUUCUUUGAUGAUGAGAAGAGGAACAUCGUAGAUGUCAGCAAACUGGGUGUUACCUGCAUUCAUGUCCAGCAUGGAAUGAGCCUUCAAACCCUAACUCAAGGAUUAGAUGCAUUCACAAAGGCCCAAGCUGGACUCUGAGGUCCAGUCAUUUGAGGAACAGAACUGAAAGGAAAUCAGGAGGGCAUUUUCAGGAAAGAAGGAGAAGGCGCCAACCCCUGAAGAGGCAAUACAGAAACUGAAGGAGACGGAGAAGAUAUUGAUCAAGAAACAGGAAUUUCUGGAGCAGAAGAUUGAACAGGAGCUGCAAACUGCCAAGAAGCAUGGAAC